GAUGAAGAACGUAGCGAAAUGCGAUAAGUAAUGUGAAUUGCAGAAUUCAGUGAAUCAUCGAAUCUUUGAACGCACAUUGCGCCCCUUGGUAUUCCGAGGGGCAUGCCUGUUCGAGCGUCAUUAUAACCCCUCAAGCUCAGCUUGGUGUUGGGGCCUGCCGCACGGGCAGCCCUUAAAAUCAGUGGCGGUGCCAUCUGGCUCUAAGCGUAGUAAUUCUUCUCGCUAUAGAGUCCCGGUGGAUGCUUGCCAUUAACCCCCAAUUUUCUAUGGUUGACCUCGGAUCAGGUAGGGAUCCCCGCUGAACUUAAGCAUAUCAAUAAGCGGAGGA
rnacentral:misc_RNA from 1 species